rnacentral:tRNA from 1 species
GGGCAGGUAGCCUAGCGGCGAAGGCAGCUGACUGUAAAUCAGCGACACAGAAACACCGGAGGUUCGAGUCCUCCCCUGCCCA